GGCCACUUAGCUCAGUUGGUUAAAGCACAGUGUUGAUAACACUGAGGUCAAGGGUUCAAAUCCCCUUACUGGCCA